AUUGAACGCUGGCGGCAUGCUUUACACAUGCAAGUCGAACGGUAACAGGCCUUCGGGUGCUGACGAGUGGCGAACGGGUGAGUAAUGCAUCGGAACGUACCCAGAGGUGGGGGAUAACGCAGCGAAAGCUGUGCUAAUACCGCAUGUGAUCUGAGGAUGAAAGCGGGGGACCGAGCAGCAAUGUUUGGCCUCGCGCCUUUGGAGCGGCCGAUGUCGGAUUAGCUAGUUGGUGGGGUAAAGGCCUACCAAGGCGACGAUCCGUAGCUGGUCUGAGAGGACGAACAGCCACACUGGGACUGAGACACGGCCCAGAAUCCUACGGGAGGCAGGAGUGGGGAAAUUUGGACAAUGGGCGCAAGCCUGAUCCAGCAAUGCCGCGUGCGGGAAGAAGGCCUUCGGGUUGUAAACCGCUUUUGGCAGGAACGAAACGGUGUCCGCUAAUACCGGGCGCUAAUGACGGUACCUGCAGAAUAAGCACCGGCUAACUACGUG
rnacentral:rRNA from 1 species